UGGGGAAUUUUGGACAAUGGGCGAAAGCCUGAUCCAGCAAUGCCGCGUGUGUGAAGAAGGCCUUCGGGUUGUAAACCUCUUUUAGCAGGGAAGAAGCGAAAGUGACGGUACCUGCAGAAAAAAGCGCCGGCUAACUACGUGCCAGCAGCCGCGGUAAUACGUAGGGCGCAAGCGUUAUCCGGAAUUAUUGGGCGUAAAGAGCUCGUAGGCGGUUUGUCGCGUCUGCUGUGAAAAUCCCGAGGCUCAACCUCGGGUCUGCAGUGGGUACGGGCAGACUAGAGUGCGGUAGGGGAGAUUGGAAUUCCUGGUGUAGCGGUGGAAUGCGCAGAUAUCAGGAGGAACACCGAUGGCGAAGGCAGAUCUCUGGGCCGUAACUGACGCUGAGGAGCGAAAGGGUGGGGAGCAAAACAGGCUUAGAUACCCUGGUAGUCCACCCCGUAAACGUUGGGAACUAGUUGUGGGGUCCAUUCCACGGAUUCCGUGACGCAGCUAACGCAUUAAGUUCCCCGCCUGGGGGAGUACGGCCGCAAGGCUAAAACUC
rnacentral:rRNA from 1 species